CGCCGCCACGGUAAUACGUAGGUGGCAAGCGUUGUCCGGAAUUAUUGGGCGUAAAGGGCUCGCAGGCGGUUUCUUAAGUCUGAUGUGAAAGCCCCCGGCUCAACCGGGGAUGGUCAUUGGAAACUGGGAAACUUGAGUGCAGAAGAGGAGAGUGGAAUUCCACGUGUAGCGGUGAAAUGCGUAGAGAUGUGGAGGAACACCAGUGGCGAAGGCGACUCUCUGGUCUGUAACUGACGCUGAGGAGCGAAAGCGUGGGGAGCGAACAGGAUUAGAUACCCCUGUAGUCCCUGUCUCUUAUACA
rnacentral:rRNA from 1 species